rnacentral:rRNA from 1 species
GCGAGCAUCCCAAAGCUGGUCAAAGAAGUAUUAUCACCCCACGCGUGGGAUUGAGACAGCGCCCAAGUUUCUACAGAGAGCACCAGUGGAUAUAUUGGACAAUGGACGAACGCUGAUCCAGCAAUGCCGCGUGAGUGAUGAGGCUUAGGAUGUAAAGCUCUUUACCCGGAGAUAAUGACUGUACUGGGAGAUAAGCCCGGCUACUCGUGCAGCAGCGCGUAUACGAGGGGCUAGCGUGUCGAUUACUGGCGUAAGCGUACGUAGGCGGCUUGUAAGUAGAGUGAAAGCCCGGGGCUCAACCCCGGGAAUUGCCUUUAAGACUGCAUCGCUGAAUCGCGGAGAGGUGAGUGGAAUUCCGAGUGUAGAGGUGAAAUUCGUAGAUAUUCGGAAGAACACCAGUGGCGAAGGCGGCUCACUGGACGCGUAUUGACGCUGAGGUACGAAAGCGUGGGGAGCAAACAGGAUUAGAUACCUGGUAGUCACGCCGUAAACGAUGAUAACUAGCUGUCCGGGCACUUGGUGCUUGGGUGGCGCAGCUAACGCAUUAAGUUAUCCGCCUGGGGAGUACGGCCGCAAGGUUAAAACUCAAAGAAAUUGACGGGGGCCUGCACAAGCGGUGGAGCAUGUGGUUUAAUUCGAAGCAACGCGCAGAACCUUACCAACGUUUGACAUCCCUAGUAUGGAUCGUGGAGACACUUUCCUUCAGUUCGGCUGGCUAGGUGACAGGUGCUGCAUGGCUGUCGUCAGCUCGUGUCGUGAGAUGUUGGGUUAAGUCCCGCAACGAGCGCAACCCUCGCCUUUAGUUGCCAUCAUUAAGUUGGGCACUCUAAAGGAACCGCCGGUGAUAAGCCGGAGGAAGGUGGGGAUGACGUCAAAUCAUCAUGCCCCUUAUGUCUUGGGCUUCACGCAUGCUACAAUGGCCGGUACAAAGGGCUGCAAUACCGUAAGGUGGAGCGAAUCCCAAAAAGCCGGUCUCAGUUCGGAUUGAGGUCUGCAACUCGACCUCAUGAAGUCGGAGUCGCUAGUAAUCGCAGAUCAGCAACGCUGCGGUGAAUACGUUCCCGGGCCUUGUACACACCGCCCGUCAAGUCAUGAAAGUCGGUAACACCCGAAGCCGGUGGCCCAACCUUUUGGAGGGAGCCGUCGAAGGUGGAUCGGAAAUGGUCC